AAAUUGAAGAGUUUGAUCAUGGCUCAGGUUGAACGCUGGCGGCAGGCCUAACACAUGCAAGUCGAACGGUAACAGGAAGAAG
rnacentral:rRNA from 1 species